GCCCGCGUGUGAAGAAAGCGUCGCCUUCCGCCUCUCCCUGCUCGCAGCGUGCUGUUUGGCCGGGAGAGUGAGAGCCGCGCUGGGCAGGGCUAAGUGGGCGGGAGCCGGGGAGUCGCUCCCGUCUGCGAGGCUUCCGAGGGAAGGCUGUUUGCUGCUGCUGCUGCUGCUGCUCCCUCCUCCUUCGCACCCUCCCUCGGCUCGCUUCGCUUGCACUCCCUCGCCCGGGUGGGUGCAGCCGCGCUAGGCAGCGCGCGCUUUGCCCGCCUCCUGCCAGUGUGGGAAUGUGGCGGUCGCCAAGCGGAGCUCCGCACGCCGGGCUUUGAGGCGCACAUGCUCCGACCGCGCCGCCCCGAAGAAGGGCCCCUUCUCCCACCUCGCCCGCGGCUGCGAAGCGAGAACCGCGGCGCCAUGGAGGAGGCAGUAGCGCAGCGCCGCCUUGCCAGCCAUCCCAAGGCGAGCUGAAGUGCCCCGCAGAGACACUUGCUGAUACCAGACCUCUAGACCCAUCUAUGUGACUUUGUUGGAGACACCAUGACUGAAGUUUUCUUGUCAGCUUUCCUGAAUGUGACUGAAACCCACACACUGGCUAGCAGCGGAUGGACCUCAGGCAAUGCCACCAACAGAUGUUCCCUGACCAAAACUGGUUUCCAGUUCUAUUACUUGCCUGCUGUCUACAUUGUAGUCUUCAUAACUGGAUUUCUGGGCAAUAGUGUGGCAAUCUGGAUGUUUAUCUUCCACAUGAGGCCUUGGAGUGGCAUCUCCGUUUACAUGUUCAAUCUGGCACUUGCGGAUUUCUUGUACGUCCUGACUCUUCCUGCACUGAUCUUCUAUUAUUUCAAUCAGACGGACUGGAUCUUGGGAGGCUUCAUGUGCAAACUCCAGAGGUUCAUCUUCCACGUCAACCUGUAUGGCAGCAUCUUGUUCCUCACGUGCAUCAGUGUACACAGGUACACAGGUGUGGUUUAUCCUUUAAAAUCACUGGGGAGGCUGAAAAAAAAGAAUGCCGUUUACAUUAGCAGCUUGGUCUGGAUUGUUGUGGUAGCUGGGAUUUCUCCAAUCUUUUUCUACUCUGGGACUGGGGAAAGGAAAAACAGAACCACUACUUGCUAUGACACAACACAAGAUGAUUUCCUGAGAAGCUACUUCAUCUACAGCAUGUGCACCACUGUCUUCUUGUUCUGCAUCCCAUUCAUACUGAUCCUUGGUUGCUAUGGAUUAAUUGUGAAAGCACUGAUUUACAAAGAUUUAGAUAAUUCUCCACUUAGGAGAAAAUCGAUUUACCUGGUUAUUAUAGUGUUGGCAGUUUUUGCUGUGUCUUAUCUUCCUUUUCAUGUGAUGAAAAACUUGAAUCUCCGAGCCAGGCUGGAUUUUCAGACUCGAGAAAUGUGUGCCUUCAACAACCGGGUUUAUGCCACUUAUCAAGUAACUCGAGGGCUAGCGAGCCUCAACAGCUGUGUGGAUCCUAUUCUGUAUUUUUUGGCAGGAGACACAUUUCGAAGAAGACUCUCACGAGCAACCAGAAAAGCCUCGAGACGAAGUGAGCUCAAUGUGCAAUCCAAAAGUGAGGAUAUGACCCUCAGUAUUCUAUCCGAGUGUAAACAGAAUGGAGACACAAGCUUGUGAAUGACAAAGAUUUGCAAGUGGUAACAUUUCCCUCCCACCCCCCUUUGGUUUUAACCCUUGUAAGACUUUCUAAUGUCAUGUAUUUUCAAGAAAACUUAACAAGCGGACAGCUUAUGUUUGUUUGUUUAUUUUAAAGACACGCUCUAUGAGCCUAGGAAGAACUUGAGCAAAGUAAGUGUACAUUUUUAAAAUGUUAAAGGAAAACAAUAGGGGAUGGUUCAGUUUUAAUCCUUAGCAGUCUGAAAGAUUAAUUAUCUGACAGACUGGCAGUACAUACAAUAAAACAAAGCAAACCCCCUUGAGAAAAAGGGGGCAAUAACUUUAAUUUCCCCUCUGUUAAAAGCAUCUCCUUGUUAUAAGACAUCAUGAAUGCCGAUAGAAGGGAAGGGUCCUAUAGGGUUUUGCUCCAUUCUCCAGUUUUCAAACCUCUUGUUUGGUUUGGCUUGGUUUGGCCUGGCCUUGGCCCUGGGAAGGUGAGGGCUGUGUAAUUUCCAUCAGGGAUAUUACCGGACCCCUCCCUCAAUUCUCAGGUUUUAUUUAACACAUCAACAGCAACAAAAGACUGCAGCCCUUCUACCUACAGAAGUACUAGGAGAAAAUUGUUGAUGGUAUUCUGCCUCCCCCUUUAGCAAGGGGUCAUAGCUCAGUGGUAGAGGAUGUGUUUUCCAUGCAGGAGGUCCCAGUGGUCUGGCUCAGUAUAAGGAAGCUGCAUAUGUAGCCAGCUGCUUUUUAAAAAAAAAGCCUGUUCUAUACUGUUGGUUGUCUGAUCUCAGUCUGUACAUUUUUUUGUUUUGUUUCAUAAUGAUGUGACUUCAAAAGCAUAUCAGGCAGUUUGAAUUUGUUGCUUUGGAUUGAUAAGUGGUAGCCCCCACCCUUCUCACCACAAGCUCCCUGGCCACAGAGCUGUCUGGCAGUCUCUCAAAACACACUUGAAAGCACAAUGGAGGCUGCCUUAUACUAAAUCCGACCAUUGAUUCACCCAGCUCAGUAUUGUCUACUCUGGCUAGUAGCAGAAUGCCAAGGUUUCAGGCAGGUCUUUCCCAGCCCUUCCUGAAGAUGCCAGGAAUUGAACCUGGGACCUUCUGCAUGUAAAGCAAGUGCUCCAGCACUGAGCGAUGGUCCUGUCCCUAUCAAGUACAGAGAUGUGGGGUGGGGGGACAUUUUCUGCAACCCCCCCUCCACCCCCCAAUAAUUUAUUUUUCUGUAGAAAUUUUUCCUUGGCUACUUGAAAAUCUUUUGAGAUACAGCGAGGGGAAAUUAAUAUGGUGGGGGUAAGUUAACGUGCCAAAUCAGAUGACAAUCUAUUUGGGGCAUCAGAAAAAAUAUAUAUAUAUAAAAAUUUUAGAAGAAAAAAAGCAAGGCAGCUUUUAUGCAAAUGAUGGGCAAAUUUGCAUGGAAAAUUUUCCCAAUCCAAAUUUCAGUUCCAAUCCACAUCCAAUCCAAAAAUUCCUCCCCAAAACCCAUUGAUACGAUUAAGCAUAUUGAUGAUACAGAAGGCCAUGAGAGUAAUGUUCUGUUAACAGCUUGUUUUUAGUGGUGGUGAGGUGAUUCUAGCAGAUUGCACUAUGAGAGCUGAUCAUAAUUUUUAAUUCUCAACUCAGGUCUUAUGUACAGAGCCAUCUGACCAUGUGGUGUUCAUGGGAAAGGCCUGACCAUAGUAGCUCCCAAGCUGUGAUGGUCUAGUAGUGUGCAUCUAUUGCCAUAAGCAGGAUUCCAUUUGUAGCAUGUGUUGAGCAACGGUCCUUCCCAACAUGCAUUGAAACUUAAAUCCUGUGGAUGCUGGUGGAUGCAGCUAUCCGCUUGCCACAGGCUUGGGCUGCCUCAUACAGGCUUUUGAUGUGCUUUUCCCAUGGCUACCAUUUGCUUGACUCUCCCUUGAAUAGGCCAUAUAUACCUGUUUUUUCACUGGAGGCUAAUACUAAAAAUGUGAAGUUACAAAAUAAAAAUCAUAAGUCUGAUCAGAGAGAGAGGGAGAGAGAGAUUUUAAGAAGUGGCACUAUAUGUUAUGCCCCAAACCCCUGAGACUUUCUACAAUUAUGACUGAAAAUUAUAAAAAAUCUCAGAUCAUAAUACAGCUAGCUGAAAGCCCCAUGCUUAUGCAAGAGCUGCAGUUCCUAGACAACUGUUCAGAAACCCCUGUAGCUCCUUUGUCUAGUUUGAGACUUGGUGUGCAUUCUCCAAUGGAUAAAAUAAUUGAACAUAUCUCAUUGUCAAUACCUGUAUUCAUGUUGACAUAAAGAUGUGCAUUUGGUUUAUUUUUAGCCGUAAUUUUGUUUUUCUCCCUUUUUUUGUCAUAAAGCACUUUGUGGAACAAUAGCUGGUUUUCUGGCAAAUCGUUACUGCUCCAAGUUAAGGUCUAGUGUUUUUAUGUUUUCCCCCUCCCACCCAGAAUAGAAAAAUAAACUGCCAUUGAUUUUCACUGUGCAAAGAGUAUGCCCCAUUUUAAUGUAGUAAAGAUCAGAUUAAGGAAGGUCUGGUUGGGAAAUACGGUCCCCUACCUUCUCCCUUUGAAUCACUGGGGAGUGGAAUUGUGGGUUUUUUUACCCGACCCUCUGAAGAUACCAAUCCCUCUUUUACACCCACAUGUGGAUAAAAUGUUUUCUUAGGCUGCAGAAUCAAAUUUACUUAGGCUCAAAUCUUGUUCCAGUUCAUAGCUGCGAAAAGAACUGAUGCAAUCUUGGGCUACGUUAACAGAGGCAUCGAGUUCAGAUCAUAAGAAGUGAUCACUCCACUGAUCAGACCUCACUUGCAAUACUGUGAUCAGACACUUGCUGAUCAGACCUCACUUGCAAUACUGUGUCCAGUUUUGGGCAUCACAAUUACGAAAGACAUUGAUAAACUAGAACAGAGUCAGAAGAGGGCGGCAAAGAUGGUGAGGGAUAUGGAAAUCAAAUCUUACGAGGAACGGUGGAGAUGGGCAUCUUGCCUGGAGAAGACAAUACUCAGUUCCUGCGUGCCCCAGAGCUGUCCAGAUCCAGAGAUAAUGACUUGCCCAACUCCACUUCCUUGUGCACUUUACUGAGAUGAUGUUAGGCCCAUGUCCUGCAUGACACUAGUCCAUAAGAAUAACAGAAGUUGCCAAAACCACCAAAUCCCUGCAAGAUCACUUUGUGCCUUUGAUAUGCCAGCACUUUGCAUUUUGUUCCAUCAUAUUGAAGAGGACUUGGCCAAAUAGAGACAGAUCUGGAUAUCACAGGACCUACAGUAAUGUAUGUUUUGAUACAUUAUACAAUGAAUGUCCUUGAUAGUUUAGAUGCAAGGGGGAAUGUGGUAAGCGUGUGUACAGUACACAGGUAUGUAAUGUUAAAUGUAACUAAAAUGUAUAUUAAUACAUUAUAAAGCAUUACAAGACUUAGUGCUUCUCUUCAAAACACAACAAAACAAACCCAACCCAUCCCUUCUUUUACUCACAGAAGCAGCGGCAGCAAGGUCAUGAGAGAAAAGACCUUCUCUUAGAUCCUCUAAAAUGGGUUCCCAGCCCGUGGUCCUUCAGAUGUUGCUGAACAACAACUCGCAUCAUCCACAGCCACUCUAUCCCAGCCACAUUGGAAGACCACAGGUUGGGAACCCCUGCUCUAAAAGCAUCCUUCUGAGACUAGCCUUGCAGGGAUACAAGCACUUUCAUUUUCCUGAUCUUUAAGGACACAUACACACUGCAGGUAAGCAGUGCAAUCCUAUGCAUGUUUCCUUGGAAGUAAAUCUCACUGUGUUCAGUGGAGCUUCCUCCCAGAUAAGUUUGCAUGUGAUUACAGCCUUAAACAUAUUUAAAAGCCAUACCCUUUCUCCAAGGAAUCCUGGGAACUACAGUUCUUUGAAGAAGGCCUAUAGACAACUGAGAGUGCCUCACCAAACUGCAGUUCCCAAGAUCCUUUGGAGGAAAUGGUUAAAACUAAUACUGGCAUAAAACUGAUUAAAGUUUGUAGUGUCGAGACAUCCUUCAUUGAAAAACUUUAUAUGAUCCCUUUUGAGAAUUCCUUUUUCUUUCUUUAUUCUCAUCAUUUUCAAAAUAUAAAGGUAACCAUCAGAAGAAUGAUAAACAUUGUCAAGAACAAAGUGAAUAAUGGUGAUGUGCAUAGAAAUAAGUUCUACUAAGCCAUCUGAAGCAUUCGUUACGCAGUCAGGAAGUAUGAAGGGCAAUAAUAAAAUUUAGGAAGUCAGGUACUAUAUACAUGAACUGGUGAUUAUUUGAGAAAGUUCAGUAGUUUGAUAUGCCUUUAUGCAUUUAAAAUGUAAUUAAUUGGCGUGCAAAGCCAGAAUGAAAGUAUGUAGGGAACUUCAAAGUUUGCAUAUUUCCUGGAUUUGCAUCGUUUCCAACUGGUUGAGGAAAUGAACAUUCAGAUUUGUUCUAUGAAUUUGAGAAGCACCACUAGUUGCUUCUUUACAGAACAAAACAUCAAAAGAUAGCUGAUUUCACGGAUUUGUGAUAACUUUGAAUACAGUGCAUGAACACAGUUAUACCCCUCCCCUGCAAAAGCCCAAUUCUACCCUUGGAUACUCCAUAUAAGGCCAAACUAGAUGAUACACCUAUUGUGUGAUUAGGGCCUCUGUGCUUGGUUUUUCCAAAUAUCAUCAUGUGGGACCUUAAUCUGGAUCAAGAUGGCUGUGUAAAAAAGUAGCCAUUAGUCUUUUGCUCCCCUUGGUCCCAAUACAGUUUGGGCCCCCUGUGUAUACCGUUUGACCUUGGGGAGAGAUCCCACUGACACCAAUGGAAACUUUCCCCCCAUGUGAAACAGCAGCUACAGCGGGGAAAGACCUACUUAAGGACCAUAGGGGCAAAGAGUUAAAGUCCCCUUCUCCCCAUACUAGGGAGAGCAAGCGUGGUGUAGUGAUUAGAGUGCCGGACUAGGACCGGGGUGACCUGAGUUCAAAUCCCCAUUCAGCCAUGAUACUUGCUGGGUGACUCUGGGCCGGUCACUUCUCCCUCAGCCUAAUCUACUUCACUGGGUUGUUGUGAGGAGAAACUUAAAUAUGUAGUACUCCUUGGAGGGAGAGCAGGAUAUAAAAUGUAAAUAAAUAAAUAAAAUACUGUGGUCGUAAUCUGGAUUGGGGCCCUACAUGGCUGCUAUUUAAAUUUGAAAAUCCAAACACACAAGUCGCAGUAGUGCAGUAUCCUCAAGUUUGUGUCUAACACCCAGUGAAUUUGAGGAAAGCCUCACUUGAGCAUCAGGAUGGAUUUAGGAGAACUGUGUACAGUGGUUCUGUCUGAAAAGAAUUGGUCCCAAACUGAGGUGAAAUAAAUUUGAAAUCUGUUUUUCCCCUUUUUUUCACACAAAGAAUUGAGUUUUUGAGUAAUUUGAGGUGUUGCUGAAGGAGGAAAAUUCAUUUUGGUGACAAAAUUCAGAAAUCUGGUUUCGAAAUCUCAAAUGUUAGCUGAGGAAAAGUAUGUGUGUGUGUAUAUAUAUAUAUAUAUUUUAAAAAGUUAAAACUUCAGAUUUUGAUAUUUCAAAUUUUGAAAUUCCAUCUUAUGUUGAAUUCUGUGGAAAAGGUUACAUUAGGUCAGAUCAUAUCAUGCCUUCCAGAAGCACAAACAAACCAAAGCAUUAUGGGGUAAUCCCACUUAAUGCUUUUCUUAUAGAGAAAUACAUGUUUUGGUGGGAGGUGAGGGGAUGGAGAGAUGGAGAAUAGUAUGCUGGAAGGUGAGGGGAGUCUUGAUUGCAUGACCAUCACAAAACCAUUGGUCUUUACACAAAUAGUAUGCUGGGAAUCUGCAGUCUUCUCUAAAAGCAACUGCCUUUUAAAACUGUAUUUUCUUACCUGUCGGCAACGUUUCCUCGGCACUGUGCACAAGUGCUGGAUCCAUUAGAUAAAAUGACCCCACAGUAUUUCUCCAUCUUUGGGGAAAAUCUACCACCCCAUCCUGUAGCUUUGAGAUUGCACAAACCUGGAGUUUUCCACUAGCAAAACGGAGAUCUGUCAUUUUGCUAGGCUGUGUGGACUAGUCAAGGGACAGAGAACUUCCAUUGAAGCAAAUCACUGGUUAAGCAGGAAACUUAUUUAAAUAGUGCUGGUGCCAUCAUACCCUUUAACAGUUGUUAAAGCUGUUUGUGGAAAUUUGUUCUGUGUGGGGGAGACAUUGUUGGAAGAAGCCCACCCCCUUACGCAUGCACCUACCCUAAGUAAAAUUGGUGCUUUUUGCACCUACCCUAAGUAAAAUUGGUGCUUUUUGUUUACUCAUUUGUGAGUCUGCAGGGUCCCUUAGGAAAGAUGUUACAGCUCAGUCAUACCAACCUUGGUUUCCUAGUCUGUUGCGCUAAUAAUAUACAGAAGAUGUAGAAUGUUUCUCUGCCCUGAUUGUGUUGUGACACACAGAAUUUGGAUGUAUGUGUAGGAGACUGGCUUCUUUGGGCAGCCAUUGAGGACCCUGGGACCGUAGGAGAGUCCACCACCAGCCUCUGAUCACUUGUGCCCAUAGCCUUCCUAGGGCAACAGCGACAAAAGAACUCCGUGGCUGAGAGAGUUGCUCCUUCAUUGUCUUCUCCAUUGGCAUCCAGUGAGGAUGGGGAAAGGAGGGGAGAAAGGAAGGAAGCACCAAGAAGGAGCUUUGCUUCUUCCCAUCACUUGUAAUGCACCAAAAGUAAGCCCCCUCCAUGAAUUGGGGGGGGGGCUCUCAGGUGAGAGGGGGCCUAUAGAGGACACUUUGCUGAGGACCCCCUCAAACUUGGAGCAGGCCCUGUGUGAGAGACCCAAUUACAAACCCUUGUUUGAUCAGUGGGUGGCCCCUGGCAUGCUGUUCUCUCGCUCAUACAAUUCCACCUCACAGGCUUAUUGGGAGGGUAAAAGAGAGAAUAAUUGUAAAACACUCCAUACAUCAAAAGAACAAAGUAACUGCAUCAUUUCCAACAAAAAGCAACUGAAUCCAGAUACAUUCUGUUCUCAUAUAUUCUAUUCCCCGUUAGUGCCUUGAGUAGAUUUUUGUAGGAGAGCGAUACCCUACCCAUGGGCUAAAUUCUGCCUUCCAGUUACUUGGUACCCAGUCAUUUCCUUCCAUACCAAUAAGCAAUGUAUCUGAAGACCUCAUACAAAUACCUUGUCCUCAGAGAAAUGGAAGAGAGCUGUAGCAAUAUGAAUCCCUAGCAUUGGUAGAGAAGUUUGCACAUCCAUGUAUUUGUGAGCCAGACAGUAUUAUCUUAUCUACUGUCCAGAUAGGAAGUGGAAGCAAAGAAGUUAAAUUGCCCAGGGACAUUCAGUUAGGCAGCAAAAAAGCGGGUAUACAUAGCUGUGCAUUUCUCUAUAGCAUGCAGCCUCAUAUGCAAAAGCAUUUGGUGGGAGAUUCACAUGCAUAAAUGAAGAGCACAAUUUAACUCUCCUGACAAGACACAAACAGGCCCUGAAUUGCAUUGCUCUUAAUCUUUCUUGUAUUGCAUUUUAAUUUCCUGAUGCUAAUCCUGAAAUGAUGGGAUUUUCCGUACAAGUGGUUUCCUUUGCAUCCAUACACCUAAGUAGCGGGUGGCAGGAAUGCUGCUUGGAUGUUCUGAAUCACCAAUGACACUUUUGUUUCUCAAUUUGUAUCUGUUAAGAAAUAUAAUGUCUGGGGUGUAAUUUUUAUCGGCAUCAUUUCAAACUAAUAUGAAGGAAAAAAAGUGUGAUGUAUGUACUAAAUGUUUUGCAAAUUCGGACUUUAUAAUGUGUUUCAAGUGCAUAUGUGGAAAUGUUUUAUUUUUCUAUCAUUCUAUAAUGUUGAGUAACUCAGAUUUAUUUGUGGUUAACAGUGCCAUUUGAUUUGAUUUGCCUAAAGAGACAGUGUUACUUGAUAUUUAAGCUUCUCAGGUUCUGUUGUGGAUUGAAACUAGUAGUAGAUUAGGGGGGGAAAGAACAACUAACUGUGCAUAACUCUCAUGAAUAAAAAGGUUAUCUUUUCUCCUUUUUUUGGUAUAAAACACUGUGUUGGUUGCAUGCGAAUUUUGUAUAAGGCAUGGCAAUAGCAUCUUGUAACUUUUUAAUGACAGUAGAACUGCACUGCUUCCACAAGAGUUUCUAGCAUUGUACUGAGCUACUUAAAGAGUAAACAAGAUCUAAUAAAGUGAUGGAACUCUGA